AACGAACGCUGGCGGCAUGCCUAACACAUGCAAGUCGAACGAGACCUUCGGGUCUAGUGGCGCACGGGUGCGUAACGCGUGGGAACCUGCCCUUAGGUUCGGAAUAACUCCCCGAAAGGGGUGCUAAUACCGGAUAAUGUCUUCGGCCCAAAGAUUUAUCGCCUUUGGAUGGGCCCGCGUUGGAUUAGCUAGUUGGUAGGGUAAAAGCCUACCAAGGCGACGAUCCAUAGCUGGUCUGAGAGGAUGAUCAGCCACACUGGGACUGAGACACGGCCCAGACUCCUACGGGAGGCAGCAGGGGGGAAUAUUGGACAAUGGGCGAAAGCCUGAUCCAGCAAUGCCGCGUGAGUGAUGAAGGCCUUAGGGUUGUAAAGCUCUUUUACCCGGGAUGAUAAUGACAGUACCGGGAGAAUAAGCUCCGGCUAACUCCGUG
rnacentral:rRNA from 1 species